rnacentral:rRNA from 1 species
UACGGGGGGGGCAAGCGUUGUUCGGAAUUACUGGGCGUAAAGGGCCAGUAGGCGGCCAACUAAGUCCGACGUGAAAUCCCAAGGCUUAACCUUGGAACUGCGUCGGAUACUGGAUGGCUUGAAUUCGGGAGAGGGAUGCAGAAUUCCAGGUGUAGCGGUGAAAUGCGUAGAUAUCUGGAAGAACACCAGUGGCGAAGGCGGCUCUCUGGGACGGUACUGACGCUGAGACGCGAAAGCGUGGGGAGCGAACAGG